rfam:Schistocephalus solidus strain NST_G2 genome assembly, scaffold: SSLN_scaffold0018429
GAACCCGUGGCUCAGUGGUAGAGUGUUCGACUCAAAUACCAAAGAUCGCGGAUUCGAAUCCCAGGUUUG